rnacentral:rRNA from 1 species
AAAGAAACCAACAGGGAUUGCCCUAGUAACGGCGAGUGAAGCGGCAACAGCUCAAAUUUGAAAUCUGGCCCUCGGGUCCGAGUUGUAAUUUGUAGAGGAUGCUUUUGGUGAGGUGCCUUCCGAGUUCCCUGGAACGGGACGCCAUAGAGGGUGAGAGCCCCGUCUGGUUGGAUACCGAGCCUCUGUAAAGCUCCUUCGACGAGUCGAGUAGUUUGGGAAUGCUGCUCUAAAUGGGAGGUAUAUGUCUUCUAAAGCUAAAUAUUGGCCAGAGACCGAUAGCGCACAAGUAGAGUGAUCGAAAGAUGAAAAGCACUUUGAAAAGAGAGUUAAAAAGUACGUGAAAUUGUUGAAAGGGAAGCGCUUAUGACCAGACUUGGGCUUGGUUGAUCAUCCUGGGUUCUCCCUGGUGCACUCUUCCAGUUCAGGCCAGCAUCAGUUCGCUGCGGGGGAUAAAAGCUUUGGGAAUGUGGCUCCCUCGGGAGUGUUAUAGCCCAUUGCAUAAUACCCUGCUCCGGACUGAGGUUCGCGCAUCUGCAAGGAUGCUGGCGUAAUGGUCAUCAGCGACCCGUCUUGAAACACGGACCAAGGAGUCGUCUUCGUAUGCGAGUGUUCGGGUGUUAAACCCCUACGCGUAAUGAAAGUGAACGCAGGUGAGAGCUUCGGCGCAUCAUCGACCGAUCCUGAUGUUCUCGGAUGGAUUUGAGUAAGAGCAUACGGGGCCGGACCCGAAAGAAGGUGAACUAUGCCUGUAUAGGGUGAAGCCAGAGGAAACUCUGGUGGAGGCUCGCAGCGGUUCUGACGUGCAAAUCGAUCGUCAAAUAUGGGCAUGGGGGCGAAAGACUAAUCGAACCUUCUAGUAGCUGGUU